UACCAGCACCCCGAGUGGUCGGGACGUUUAUUGGGCCUAAAGCAUCCGUAGCCGGUUCUACAAGUCUUCCGUUAAAUCCACCUGCUUAACAGAUGGGCUGCGGAAGAUACUAUAGAGCUAGGAGGCGGGAGAGGCAAGCGGUACUCGAUGGGUAGGGGUAAAAUCCGUUGAUCCAUUGAAGACCACCAGUGGCGAAGGCGGCUUGCCAGAACGCGCUCGACGGUGAGGGAUGAAAGCUGGGGGAGCAAAUCGG
rnacentral:rRNA from 1 species